rnacentral:lncRNA from 1 species
GAGGGAAAAAGAGUAAAGACCUCACAGCCAAGAGGAUCAGCUCCUUCCCUUCCCAAGAUCAAUGAGGCCCAACCUGAUAUGAAUGGACUCCAUUGUCUUCUGUCUUGCAGCCUUGGUGAACACAUCAGCCAACUGAUCUUCACUCCUUGUGUAACAUGGCAAGAUGACUCCUAGAAUGAUAAUUUGCCUCACCUUGUGGCAAUCAACUUCAAUGUGCUUGGUUCUCUCAUGAAACACCGAGUUGGAUGCAAUGUGAAUGGCUGCUUGGUUAUCACAAUGCAUUGUCAUUGGCGUGGCUUGAUCAAUCUCCAAAUGCUUCAAGAUGCCUUUGAUCCACACCAACUCGUUGGUAAGCUUCAGCAUAGCUCUAUACUCAGCUUCUGCACUUGAGCAAGAGACCACCUUCUGCUUCUUACUCUUCCAUGUCACCAAGUUGCCUCCAAUGAAUGUGCAAUAGCCUGUGGUUGAUCUCCUGUCUGCUCUGUUGAGAUGAGGAAGUCAUUAUGAGAAGGAGAGGAAGAGCUAAGCAAGUGAUGGAAAGAGUACGGACAGUACGGCCUAUGUACGGACAGGGGCUUGGCCGUACAUCUGAGGAAACAUGAAGGAAGAAGGAGAUGGGUGAGUAAAGCCUCUAGAGUACAUAGAAGGUCUCAAGACUGAUCAGACCGUUUAGGGAUAAGGGUGGGACGAGCCUUAUCCAUCCAGGCCGUGGACAGGCUGUAAAGGCCAAGCGUGUGAGCCUUACCAUCCGUUCAUUCAAAAGGGACGCUCCUCUUGGACUUGACUUCACAUGCUUAUGACUAGUGCUGCUUUCUCUUAACUUGUAACCCUAAUGCCUCUUCUAUAAAUAUUGUAACCUCAUCUCAUAAUAAGAUCAGACAGUUCUAAACAAUCUCUCUCUAUACUCAUUUCAUUAUGAUUCUCCAUUAGUCUCUAAUCUGUCUCUUAAUCUCUUAUUCUCUUCUAUAAUCCUUUCUAAACUCAGAUAAUCAUUUACAUCCUUAAAACUCACAUGGUAUCAGAGCCAGGUUGAUUAAAAUCUGAGUUCGUGAGAGACUUUCUUAAAGGAUUCAAGUUUGAAACUUUAAGAGAACAAGUGAGUGUGUUUGAGAGUUUCUUGAGACUUCAAAAGCUCAAGGUACUUUGCGUGUGUCUUGGUGAUCCGUGGGAGGGUCAUUUGAAGACUCAAGGGUAAAUCUUUGUUCUAGAGGGCAGUGUGGGUUCUCAGUACAAGAUCUAGUAGUUUGUUCAAGCUGUAGACGUCAAGCUGUUCAAGAUGGAAAGUGUUUUGAAGAUGAAGGUCGCGGUGACAUUCAAAGGAAGCAACUACCUAGUCUGGUCUAGGAUGGUGAAGACUGCUGUGGGAAGCAAGGGUUUGUGGAAGCAUAUCACAGCUGGUGAAGCUCCAAGGGCGAUUACUCAAGAGGGUGACGCAGAGAGCUCCGAGGAGAGUGUUGUGGAGAAGUGGCAACAAGAAGACAUGAUGGUGAUGUCAGUUCUUCAUGCCUCGUUGGAACCGGCUAUCCUAGAUGCUUAUAGCUACUGUGAGACAGCCAAGGAGCUGUGGGACACUCUGAAGAAGGUGUAUGGAAAUGUUUCUAACCUGAACCGAGUGUUUGAAGUCAAGAAGGCAAUCAACGAGUUAACCCAAGAUGACAUGGAGUUUACAAAGCAUUUGGGGAGGUUCAGGACACUGUGGUCUGAGCUGGAGAUGUUGAGGCCAAGCACAGUUGAUCCAGAGCUUCUAAAUGAGAGGCGUGAGCAGGACAAGGUCUUUGGGUUGCUGCUCACAUUGAAUGCAAGCUACAAUGGUCUCAUUCAGCACAUGCUAAGGUCCGAGAAAUUACCUGACCUUGAGGAGGUGUGUGCUCAGAUACAAAGGGAGCAGGGCUCAAUGGGCUUGUUUGGAGGCAAGGGAGACUUAUCUCUUGCAAAUGCUGUGCAAUCUGAACGUGAAGAACCUCCUCAAGCCAACAAAGCUGGCUACAACAAGUAUGAGAAGUUCAAUGGGAAUUGUGAUCAUUGCAAGAGGUAUGGGCACAAGAAGAUUCAGUGCUGGAUACUUCAUCCCCACUUGAAGCCGGCUAAGUUCAUAAAGGAGAAAGAGGCAAGAGCUCACAUGACUGAAGGAUCAAGUGGAGCAGGGCCAUCCAACCGAGGAACUGAAGUGGAGAACCGUGAAGGGAAUGGAAAAGCUUUGGUGACUUAUACUGGAGCCAUCAACCCCCGAGGCAAUGAUCAAGACUUCAUCAGGAGGUCCGAGAUGGAUGCACUCAUCAAAAUGCUCAAGGAUAAUGGUAACAUUCAUGGGUAUUCAUUUGGUGCUUCUAUGAUUGCUAGGACUAUAGAAAUGACUCACAGUAAGGCUGAGAUUGCUAGGAAUGAUAGUAAGGCUGGAAUUGAGCAGUGCAUUGAUAGAAAUGCUAGGAUGAAUGCAUAUAGAUCAAAUUGUAUCUGCCAUCAUGCUAGCAAUGCAUCCAAACCAUUGAUUAUAGAUUCAGGUGCAUCUCAUCAUAUGAUUAGUGACACCAACCUGAUUAAAGACAUAGAACCUACUAAUGGAUGUGUGAUGAUUGCAAAUGGAGAUAAGAUACCUAUUAAGGGAAUAGGAAACUUAAAGCUAUUUGAUAAGACUACUAGAGCAUUUUACAUUCCUGAAUUCACAUCAAAUCUACUUUCAGUUAAGAAAUGCACUACUGAUUUGAAUUGCAAUGUUAUAUUCAGUCCUAAUGAUGUGAAGUUUCAGGAUAUUGAAAGCAGCCAACUGAUUGGAAAAGGAGUUACAAAGGGAGAGUUAUAUAUGCUUGAGAAGCUUGAUCCUGUUUCCAAUCAUAACUGCUCAUUUACUUCUGCUUCUAGUUUGAAUAAAAAUGCAUUGUGGCAUGCUAGACUAGGUCAUCCCCAUGAGAGGGCUUUAAACUUGAUGUUACCAGGUGUGGUUUUUGAAAAUGAUAAGUGUGAAGCUUGCAUUUUAGGCAAGCAUUGUAAGAAUGUAUUUCCAAGAACAUCUACUGCUUAUGAAAAUUGCUUUGAUUUGAUUCAUACUGAUGUGUGGACUGCACCUAUUUUCUCUAGAGAUAAUCAUAAGUACUUUGUCACAUUCAUUGAUGAAAAAUCUAAAUACACCUGGUUAACACUAAUUCCAUCAAAAGAUAGGGUGAUAGAUGCAUUCAAGAACUUUCAAGCUUAUGUGACUAACCAUUAUCAUGCUAAGAUUAAAAUUUUGAGAUCAGAUAAUGGAGGAGAAUACACAAGCUAUGCGUUCAAAAGCCAUCUAGAUCAUCAUGGAAUACUUCAUCAAACAAGCUGCCCCUACACACCACAACAGAAUGGUGUAGCUGAGAGGAAGAACAGGCACUUGAUGGAGGUGGCUCGGUCAUUAAUGUUCCAAGCUAAUGUACCUAAAAGAUUCUGGAGUGAUGCUGUAUCUACUGCUUGCUAUCUAAUCAACCGAAUACCUACUAGGGUAUUGAAGGAUCAAGCACCGUUUGAGGUACUGAACCAGCGCAAGCCAUCUUUGACAUAUAUGAGAGUGUUUGGAUGCUUGUGUUAUGUGUUGGUACCAGGAGAGUUGAGGAACAAGCUAGAAGCAAGAAGCAGAAAGGCAAUGUUCAUUGGCUACUCAACAACUCAAAAAGGAUAUAAGUGUUAUGAUCCAGAAGCUAGAAGGGUACUUGUAUCUAGAGAUGUGAAGUUCAUUGAAGAAAGAGGAUACUAUGAAGAGAAGAAUCAAGAAGACUUGAGGGAUCUUACAUCAGAUAAGGCUGGAGUCUUAAGAGUGAUUUUGGAAGGUCUUGGUAUCAAGAUGAAUCAGGAUCAGUCCACAAGAAGCAGACAACCAGAAGAGAGCUCAAAUGAACCAAGAAGAGCUGCUCAAACACCUCACCUUGAUCAUGAGGGGGGAAGUGAACCUGAAACUCAAGAAAAUGGCCAAGAAGGAGUCGGCUUGAGUGAAGAAGGAGAAGAGUUCAACUCAGGUUCUCAUCAUCAAGGUGAGCAAGACCAAGGAGAUGAAGAACAUCACAGUGAAGCACAAGAACCGCAUAUACAAGAUGAGCAGGUUCAAGUGCAAGAACAACCUGUAUUGAGGAGAAGCACAAGGAUUAGAAAGGAUCCUUCCUCUUGGGUAAACACGAGAGUGUACUACAAUGCCCAAGCUGUGGAGGAUCCUUCUCGAGUUGUGUGUUCCUUUGCUCAAUACCCUGAAGAACAUUGUGCGUUCAUGGUUAACUUGGAUGAGAACUAUAUUCCAAGAAGCUAUGAAGAAGCAAUCAUGGAUAAAGAAUGGAAGGAAUCAGUUGGAGCUGAGGCAGGAGCCAUGAUCAAGAAUGAUACAUGGUAUGAGAGUGAGUUACCAAAAGGAAAGAAGGCUGUGAGUAGUAAAUGGAUAUUCACAAUCAAGUAUAAGGCUGAUGGAAAGGUUGAGAGGAAGAAGUCAAGGCUAGUAGCAAGAGGUUUCACUCAAACUUAUGGAGAAGAUUACAUAGAGACCUUUGCACCAGUAGCUAAACUACAUACCAUAAGGAUUGUAUUAAGCUUGGCUGUGAAUCUUGGAUGGGGGUUAUGGCAAAUGGAUGUGAAGAAUGCAUUCUUACAAGGUGAACUUGAGGAUGAAGUAUAUAUGCAUCCACCUCCAGGCCUAGAACACUUAGUGAAGAAAGGGAAUGUGUUAAGAUUGAAGAAAGCCAUCUAUGGGCUGAAGCAAUCACCAAGGGCUUGGUACAACAAGCUGAGCACUACUCUGAAUGGCCGUGGCUUCAAGAAGUCUGAACUAGACCACACUCUCUUCACACUCACAACUCCCUCAGGUAUGAUUGCACUUCUUGUGUAUGUUGAUGAUAUCAUUAUCACAGGAAGUGAUAAGGAAGGUAUCAUAGCAACCAAGGAGUUCAUUAAAUCCAUGUUUGAGAUUAAAGAUUUGGGAGAAAUGAAAUACUUUCUUGGAAUUGAGAUAUGUAGAUCCAAGGAAGGGUUAUUCAUGUCCCAAAGGAAGUAUACACUUGAUCUUUUGAAAGGUGCAGGUGCUUAUGGAGGCAAGACUGCAAGGAUGCCUAUGGAGGAUGGCUACAAAGUCCCACGAGAGGGGGAGAUUGAAGACAGCAAACCUUAUCAGGAUCCUAAACUCUAUAGAAAACUAGUUGGCAAAUUGAUUUAUCUUACCAUAACUAGACCUGACAUUUGUUUUGCUGUGAAUCAGGUGAGUCAACACAUGCAAGUUCCUAAGGAGCAUCAUUGGCGCAUGGUGGAGAGGAUCUUGAUGUAUCUCAACGGCUCACCUGAUCAAGGAGUAUGGAUGGGUUGCAAUGGAAGCACUGAAGUGGUUGGAUACUGUGAUGCAGAUUGGGCUGGUGAUAGAGCAGACAGGAGAUCAACCACAGGCUAUUGCACAUUCAUUGGAGGCAACUUGGUGACAUGGAAGAGUAAGAAGCAGAAGGUGGUCUCUUGCUCAAGUGCAGAAGCUGAGUAUAGAGCUAUGCUGAAGCUUACCAACGAGUUGGUGUGGAUCAAAGGCAUCUUGAAGCAUUUGGAGAUUGAUCAAGCCACGCCAAUGACAAUGCAUUGUGAUAACCAAGCAGCCAUUCACAUUGCAUCCAACUCGGUGUUUCAUGAGAGAACCAAGCACAUUGAAGUUGAUUGCCACAAGGUGAGGCAAAUGAUCAUUCUAGGAGUCAUCUUGCCAUGUUACACAAGGAGUGAAGAUCAGUUGGCUGAUGUGUUCACCAAGGCUGCAAGACAGAAGACAAUGGAGUCCAUUCAUAUCAGGUUGGGCCUCAUUGAUCUUGGGAAGGGAAGGAGCUGAUCCUCUUGGCUGUGAGGUCUUUACUCUUUUUCCCUCAUCAAGGUUUUGUCCCAAUGGGUUUUCCUUGGUGAGGUUUUUAAUGAGGAAGAUCUCAUAGCCAUCCAAGCUUAGGCUUUCACAAAGCUAAGCUUGAGGGAGAGUGUUGAGAUGAGGAAGUCAUUAUGAGAAGGAGAGGAAGAGCUAAGCAAGUGAUGGAAAGAGUACGGACAGUACGGCCUAUGUACGGACAGGGGCUUGGCCGUACAUCUGAGGAAACAUGAAGGAAGAAGGAGAUGGGUGAGUAAAGCCUCUAGAGUACAUAGAAGGUCUCAAGACUGAUCAGACCGUUUAAGGAUAAGGGUGGGACGAGCCUUAUCCAUCCAGGCCGUGGACAGGCUGUAAAGGCCAAGCGUGUGAGCCUUACCAUCCGUUCAUUCAAAAGGGACGCUCCUCUUGGUCUUGACUUCACAUGCUUAUGACUAGUGCUGCUUUCUCUUAACUUGUAACCCUAAUGCCUCUUCUAUAAAUAUUGUAACCUCAUCUCAUAAUAAGAUCAGACAGUUCUAAACAAUCUCUCUCUAUACUCAUUUCAUUAUG